rnacentral:rRNA from 1 species
UACAGAGACUGCAAGCGUUAUUCGGAUUCACUGGGCGUAAAGGGUGCGCAGGCGGUUGGGUGUGUCAGAUGUGAAAUCCCUCGGCUUAACCGGGGAACUGCGUCUGAUACUGGAUGGCUCGAGUUUGGGAGAGGGAUGCGGAAUUCCAGGUGUAGCGGUGAAAUGCGUAGAUAUCUGGAGGAACACCGGUGGCGAAGGCGGCAUCCUGGACCAACACUGACGCUGAUGAGCGAAAGCCAGGGGAGCAAACGGG